AACAAUAAAUUAAAAUUAUAACACCUUAAUCCCAAACAAUAUUUCUCAUUUUUUCAAAAAAAAAAUAUUCAUGGUCUUUGUUCACCGUCACCGGCUAGUAAACAUUCUAGGGCAUUACAUGUAUGAAACAGAAAAAUCUCCAAAAUCUCAGUACUAAUCCAAAAGAAAAGACUACAUUACAUUCACAGUUCUGUUAAAAAUCAAUUCAGCACCAAUGACAUUACACCUACCUUACCAAUCUUGCCACCCUUCUGCUUUUCAAAUAAUCUACAACGAAUAUGCAACAACUAAUUCUCUUCUGCCUUUAUUCCAAAACCCGCCAAAAACAAACCAACCAAAAAAAAAAAAAAACUCUGCUAAUCAAGAGCCUCCGCUCUAAAGUUCUGAGAAGGCUGAAGUUGGUGAACUUGGAUAUCCACUAGUCUACUCAUGAAAUAAUUAACUACAUUCCAUAAUUACACAUGUAAUGUCAAUAGCGAUUAGCGGGUAUGCGAGAGAUAUUCUAAUCACACGUCAUUUCGCAUUGCAUUCUUACAAGGAGUUGUUCUGUUUCACACAUCAAACCAAGAUAAAAAAAAUUGUACAUACAAGGAGACAGGCACAACUGUCAAUCCUUAGAUAGGAAAUGCACCCGUGCAAGGGUGUAAUCCUUCCCAGCUAUCCAAACGCCAGUUUGUGACCACUGCACAUCCUCCCAGUCAAGAUUUUCUUCUAUUACCUGUCCAUGAAAAAAAAUGUUAUCAAAUAGAAGACAAAAGAACCACAACUACAUCGUUUCUAAGCAAUGUACAGAACAGAUGGAUUUAUGCACCAAGCUAGGCCCACCAUGCAUGUUUGUUAUGCAAAAUAUUGCAUCAAUAUGCAUAUAUGAUUGCACAUGAGGAAAUUUAACUGGAUAGGCAAAAUAGAUGCAAUUUUGCUAAGUUGGACCAACAUGCCCUAUGCUGAGAUGGGCAAUAGGAGAAUGCAAAAUGGAAGCAGAUGCCAAGCACUUGUCAAUACAAAGUUUCUGGCAACUCAGGAGUGCUUCCGAGUUCCAAAGAUGAACCUCCAUUCGUUUUAGUUCUAAACAUGCAAUGCUGUCGAAAGAAACAAGUGAGAUGAAGUACCUCCACAUGCUCAGGAGGCAGUGGGAUCCCAAUGGAACGCAUAACUUUUUGAGGAAGGGGCUUCUUACAACGAGACCAACGAAAAACAUCAGUCAUAAUAUUAUCACCAUCAGUCUUUUCCCCAUUUGGGGAAUGUAAAAGGUGAUUUUGAGACUUUUCUGUCUCUGUAUCCUGUGACUCAGAUGCUGGAACAGCUUUAACCAUCUUCUCUCCCGCAAAAGAGAGUUCAUACCUGCAGAUAACAACUCAAAAGAUCAGAAAAUACAAACCAUUACCAAGAAAUUGCCACAUGUACUUUAGAGAUUCCAAUAUCCAGAAAAUUAUUCUGAUUUGAGGCUAUAAAUCUUUUUCUUCUUACACAAACAAAUGACAAUAGACUUUAAUUCAAGUGACUAGUUUCAUUCAUAACAGAUAUGAAAUGAGAAAAUACUAUCAGUUAAAAAAAAAAAAAAAGAAUUGAUAAAGUUGUACCCCAAGACCAACAGGAACAAGCAGAAUGCAGAACUUCAAAGCUAUAUGCAGCUCUUCAUAAAAGCAAAGCCUAAUCCUAUUCCAUCAACUUGGAAACUUCACUAGGAUGCUUCCAGAUCUUAAAUUUGGAACUUAGCAUCUCCAGUUAAGUUCAGGUUUAAUGCAUCUGAUCCGUAAAUUGUCUUAUUACAAUGUUCCACGAAAUCACAUGAUGAUGUAAAUAUGUGAUCAUAUCUCAGUAUAGUUUCUUUAAUUUGAUCAUUGGUGCUAUGUAGCAUUAAGAACAAAAGAGCAAUAAGACAAUAAUAACAUCAGAAUAGAGGCAGAUAGAAAACAAUUACAUAACAAAUUUAUUAAAACAAAAUAUCAUGUUCCAAAAUCCCAAAUGACAAUCAAACAACCUGUGCAAACAAUUUAUGUCAAUAACAAGAUAGGAAGACUACCUGCAAGAAUGUGUUUCUAAAUAAAGAACUUCCCCCUUCUUCAAACGUGCUGAUGUAUAAAGGGGCUUCUUCAGACCUUUAUCAGCAACAAUACUUAUACUGUACUUAAUCCUGAAUAAGUUUGCAGGCAUUCAGAUUAAUUAGUAUCGGAACACUUGAAUAUCGAGGGGAUUCAAAAAAUAAAUAAAUAAAUAAAAACCAAGAAAAGCAAUUAUCAGGUAUAUUCAAUUAUUUCUAACUGUAAUGCUGAGAAAAGCAAGGUCACAACGUCCCAACUCUCCGUGCACAUAAACAUUCAAACAAAAUUUCCAACAAUAAACUGAUAUAUGUAUGUAAAUGCAUGCUAGAAAUUAUGAAAAAGAAGAUUAUAUGCAUACCAAGGUUCAUUGCAGAGGUUGUACUGAAUUGUGACUUCUCGCACGAAUCUUUGUUGCCGCAAUGCAUUCUGAAGAAUGAAAAACAUAAAGCGAGCCAGUUGUUAUUUAAUACAAACAAAACAUAUGCAUAAAUGCUCACACAUACCCACAUGUGCUACAGAAGAAUAUGUGAUUCAAAACAUAAUUGUCUUUGCAGUCCAAGUUAUCUGACAAUCAUUUAGAAGCUUUGUUUAAGACAGAUGGUUUUCAGAGCUGGCCUAACUCGGUGGCUUUGAAAGUUUUCGGUAUAUAAGCUACAUUAAGACAAAGAGGGUUUUCCAGGUGCACCAUGCCAGGUGUUAUUUGACAAUCUACCAAGUUGAAUACACAAUGAACACGCUACAUUUUCCAAUUCUGACCCUAAUUAAAGAUUUAAAUGAACUAGGACAAAUGGAGAGAUAUAAUGGAAAGUCAUCCACUGAUGCAAUCCCAACAAACAUAAGUAGCUGAGUGAUACCGAUGCUGCAGUCCUAGUAGUCAUUGUCCGUUCCACUGCCAUAGGAGCAAGGGUAGGCUCCACUGUUGAUGAGUGAGUAAGACAAGGCUCUAGAUCAAUAGUUCCACCUCCUUUCUGCAAUUUAAAAAACAGAAAUUCAUAUGUUCAUAACUAUUAAAAAGUGUUAAACAACCUGUAAGCUACUAACUUCUACCAACUCAAUAGCACUUGCUAAAGUUUUUAUGCAAAAGGAAAGGGCAUUUUAAGUCCAAAAAAUUAGAAUUAUUGAUUGAAUUCCGACUCCAUCAAUCCAUGCAACCAUCCAAUCUUUUAACGAAAAAAUGAAGCAUCAUUAAUGAGACAUCUGAAGCAGAAAAAGGCAGAGAUAACUAGUUUGUCACCUUCACAAUGCAACACUUCUCAACACGGUAACUACAACCACUUCCAGCCCCCCAGGCACGGGAACGUACGUUAUUUCUUUGUUCAGAUGUGUAACCUAACAAAGCUAGUGGAGGUUAGCCUUGUUAAAAUGCACAUAAGUAAAACAAACAUUGUGAUGAAAAUUGCAGAAGUGCAAAGAGAUAAAAAGAGAGCAUAAGUUACAACUAGUUAAAUAAAGAAAAAUUAAUCAGCUUCCGAAUAUGCUUCAGUCAAUAACUCAGGUCGAACUCUCUAAUAACUAUUGUUGGGUUGAAAGCCAAUGGUAAACAUAGAGAAGAAUAAUGAACUGCAUUAUUCAGCACAUUACUUCUCCAUAUCGACAAAGUAGGACUGUGGAAGUGUCAUCCAGGAAUAAGACCUUCUGCAAACAGAGACAUAAAAUUGUCUCCCAAGUUGUCUACCACAGUCUAUCCAAACACACUUUUCUUACUAAUUGUGAACACACAUGAGGAUUGUGUUUUGUUUUGGCACAAGGUGUGUUGGAUACAACUUAAGAAAUCUAGACACGAUCUAUAACCAUCAAGUCCAAACAAAAGUCAAGAUCUAAAAUGCUUUAGAAAAUCAGAAAAACAGCAAAAUAUCAAUUUCAGCUUCUUUUUCACUAAUUGUAAACUCAAACUCAAACCCGAGUAAAAGGGUAAAAGAAAGUGAAACUCACAAUUCAGACAUGUAGGUUAUGCUCCGUUGCAAUGAGAAUCAAAUUAGGGUUUAGUGGGUUUCCGUUUCAAACAGAUGGAAAAGCAUUGUAUUUGCGAAAAUCAAAAUAGACACUGUUUUUUACUUUGAAUUAAUAAUAUCUAUAUGAAGAGAAUAAAUCUUCUUACCCAGGACCCGGAGGCCGGGAGUGAUAUUCCUAGAGCCGGUAAAAUUUGACACACUUGAUUAUCUGAUAUGAAUACUAGGUGAAUAAAUAGGUACGAGUCAUUUAAUUUGAUACGAUUAUUACAUGUGUUGGAUCUGAGUAGAUAUAAUUUUUUUUCCGAGUUAGGUUGAGGCUAAAGUUUUUGAUUUAUUUAUCUGAAAAUAAUAUGGUUAUAUAUUUUAUUUUAAAUUAAUUUGUAGGUUUUUGUUAUAAAAUUCAAAUAUUGAACAUUAUUUUCUUUUUCUUUUUUAAAUUAUGAAUAUGUAUACAAUAUUUUAUUUAUAAAAUUUUAUAUAAAUUUAAAAUUUCAAUAAUAUAAAUAUGUAAAAUAUUGAUAGAUAUAUAUGUUUUAUAAUAUCGAUAUAUAAUAUUGUCUGUAUAUGUAUACAUUUAAAAAUUCAAUAAUGUAAAUGAGUAAUAUUUUAGUAGAUAUAAAUAUUUUAUAAUAUUGGUAGAUUAUAUAUAUAUAUAUAUAUAAAGCGGGUUAUUGAAGAAUUUGUUUAUUUUUUGUAUCGUAUCAUUGUCUUAAUAUUUUGAUAUGAUUAUUAGAUAGAUAGUAUUUCAAUCAAUUUAAAUUUAAUACAACACGAAUACGACCUAAGAACCUAUAUUGACAACUCUAGAUAUUUAUACUCUUAAAAGUUUAAUAUAUCAAAUGAAUGUGGUCAAAACUCAACUGCCAUUGACAGCCCAUCUUUAUUUAUUAUCAUUUUUUUUUUCAAGUAGUAAAACAAAAUUAUUUUUGGGUAAAUUUUUUUUUUUGAAUACUGAUUAAUCAUCAUAUUACUGCAUUACACAGAUAUUUACAACUGCUAUUAUAGCAGAUAUAUUACACUGAUAUUUACAAUCAGAAAUACAUGAUUGGGACUUAUAUUAUUACAUUGAAUUCUGUGAAGUACAUGCCCAGACAAAUAAUCCCUUACAGAAGAGGGAUGUCCAUACUCCACUCGUGCGCUAUUAUAGCAGAUAUAUUACACUGAUAUUUACAAUCAGAAAUACAUGAUUGGGACUUAUAUUAUUACAUUGAAUUCUGUGAAGUACAUGCCCAGACAAAUAAUCCCUUACAGAAGAGGGAUGUCCAUACUCCACUCGUAUUGCACGAGAGAGAGGAAAUUUUUUGAAAUAUUAAACAAAUAAGCACGUUAGCCCCCACAAAUACUUUUGUGGGGGCUUGAACCGCUGCCCUCACAAUGCUUGUGAGGGCAGCAGCCCACCACUUCGACCAAGGCCGAAGUGGCUAUUUUUGGGUAAAUUGAUGUGUUGCAAAGGUAUUAAUUGAAUAGAAACCAAGGGAGAUAUUAAUAAACGAAAAUUAGAUACGAAUGAUAUUAAUCCUAACUAAUAUCACAAUAUUGAUAUCAAUUAUAAAUUAUAUACAUAUCAAAUAAUCACUUUUAGUAUGUUGAAAAGUCACGUAAAUAUGCGUUUACCUUUUUUUACUCCUUCCCAUUUUCUCUACUUUUUUUUUAAAGAAUUAGCAUCAUAAAAAUUAAACAAAAAAAAUACAAGACCCAAAUGGAGAUCAAAGUACCUUUCUUCCGAAAUUAUUUCAGAAAUAUUAGUUAUGCUAUCUGCAUGUUUUUUUGUUCGUACAUUUUAUCAAGGCAAAAUGUCAUUAGACAAUAAAUUCUUAAAAACGUCAUCUAAUUUUAAAUAAUUUUAAAUCAAUGCAGAUUUGUCUUGUUAUAAAUGUUCCUCAUAGGUGUCUUUGGAAUUGAAAUUAAGUAGCAAUUUAAAAAUUACAGCACUAAAAUGUUUGAUAAAUAUUAAUUGUUAUAACUUAAAAAAUAUGUUGAUAUAAUUUUUCACUUGUAUGAUAAAAAAAUUAUUAUAUAAAAUUAUUUUUUAAAAUUUAUAUUUAUUACGUAUUAUUAACUUUUGUUUCAUAAUUACAUUAUUUUUUCUACAACUAUAAAUUAAAAUUAUAACACCUCAAUCUUAAAUAGAAUCCUAAUCCAUCGUAUUUCUCAUUUUUUCAAAAAAAAAAAUAUUCAUGGUCUUUGUUCACCGUCACCGGCUAGUAAACAUUCUAGGGCAUUACAUGUAUGAAACAGAAAAAUCUCCAAAAUCUCAGUACUAAUCCAAAAGAAAAGACUACAUUACAUUCACAGUUCUGUUAAAAAUCAAUUCAGCACCAAUGACAUUACACCUACCUUACCAAUCUUGCCACCCUUCUGCUUUUCAAAUAAUCUACAACGAAUAUGCAACAACUAAUUCUCUUCUGCCUUUAUUCCAAAACCCGCCAAAAACAAACCAACCAAAAAAAAAAAAAACUCUGCUAAUCAAGAGCCUCCGCUCUAAAGUUCUGAGAAGGCUGAAGUUGGUGAACUUGGAUAUCCACUAGUCUACUCAUGAAAUAAUUAACUACAUUCCAUAAUUACACAUGUAAUGUCAAUAGCGAAUAGCGAGUGUGAGAGAGGAUAUUCUAAUCACACGUCAUUUCGCAUUGCAUUCUUACAAGGAGUUGUUCUGUUUCACACAUCAAACCAAGAUAAAAAAAAUUGUACAUACAAGGAGACAGGCACAACUGUCAAUCCUUAGAUAGGAAAUGCACCCGUGCAAGGGUGUAUUCUUUCCCAGCUAUCCAAACGCCAGUUUGUGACCAUUGCACAUCCUCCCAGUCAAGAUUUUCUUCUAUUACCUGUCCAAGAAAAAAAAUGUUAUAAAAUGGAAGACAAAAG
rnacentral:lncRNA from 1 species